GCGCCGAGGGCCGGGCUGCGGGCGGGGCGGGGGCCGAGCUCGGGGCGGUGCGGCCGGGGCUGCCCGGAGCCGGCCCCGCUGGAAGGCACGGCCCCGGGAAGGGACCGUGUGCGACCCGGGAGCUCCGCUGCCCCGGGGUAUGGCUCACCCUCCUGCCAGCACCCCCCUCUUUUGCGGGGGAUGCCUCAUGUUGGUUUCCUUUUCCCUUAGACAGUCACUUAAGGAGGUUGUGACAACGAUAUUCAAACAACACGUAUUCAGACGCAAAUUCAAAGAUUCAUUAUUUCAUCAAAGCUUGAGAGGUUGUGGUUUUUCUUUUUUUUUUUUUCUUUUUUUUUAUUUUUUUUUCCUGUGACUGAAUUAAAGAAUUUUAUUAUUUUUGUUCUAAUGAAAAGGGAAACCGUCAGCAGGAAUUUUUCAUUUAAGCAUAAAUGAAUUUAGAAUGGUCGAAAAACAUGCUUAAAUGAGACUUCCACAAUGAAAAGCAAGUGCAGAUGGUCCGGGGACUUAAGGACUCGUUUCUAUGGUGUCUGGCAAUUUUUCAAGCACCCAGGGUGCGAUUCUACCUGUUAAUUAGAUCCACUGAGUAUUCGAGACACAUGAGGCUUUCACAUCCCUGCUUAAUGUCACAGGCUCAUCGUUUGCAGAAGCAGCAGAGGUCCUAGUGCCACUCUUCAAACCAGUACCGCACUAAGUGCAAAUGGAUACUAAACCCGGCCAUAUAUACCUUUAACUCUUCUCAGGAGUGGGCGACAUGAAAGGUAGGGCUGGAUGGGCAGAGAGGCUUAGCCUGAUGAACAAGAUGGCUUAUGUGUGCUUGAGACUGAGAGGAAGGAGAGAGUGCGGCUGAAGCAAAAAAUGGUGGUCUCCUCAAGAUAAAUAGCUUUUAGAUCUACAGUAGAAACGAGUAUUUACAAACAGAGAGAUGCUCUGUAACGGAGAAAACACUAAUAUACUGCCCUUAAAAACAAAUAAAUCAAAACAUACAAUUUUAAAGUGGGGUGUCCAUUGUCUUUCUGUUUACAAGUGCCAUCUUCUGAUAAUGGUUCAGAAAUUUAAAAGACUUUUUCAAAUAGCCAUUAAUAGCCGUUUAAAGGAUUAUUUAUCUUUUAUCCCUCCUUUAAUCAUUUUUGCGUCUUUACACAGUCUGUAACUACUAAGGUUUAAUUGGAGUUUUGGUCGAGUAAAGGCUGCAGAAUCUGACCCAGAGAAUCAAAAGCUGUCUUCAUUCACCCAGACAACAUCAGAAAAGCCAUUUGAACCAAUUCAGAUGUAAAGUGAUGCAACUACAGAGAUUUGCAAGACAAUGGCGGGGACAUUGCCAGGAAAAGUCAUUAGUAGAAGCACACUAGUUGUCAUGCCGAAUCUGAUUUUUCUCUUCUUCACAAACAUUCACAUUUAUGACAGUAACUGAGGACUACUCCAGUUAAGGCACUGUGUUUUACUGGAAAAAAGGAAGCAUUUAAUACAGCAUUGAGCCUUGCAGUUCCUUUCAGGCAAAACAUUAUUUGGAUUGUAUGAAAAUACAAAAUAAGCAUGUUGUGUUGCUACCCUUUGCUGGAUAAGGUAUAUCACAGAUGAAAGACAGUAGGUAGAGUCAAAGAGUACAUUUUAGAAACGUUGAGCUGACAGAAGAGUCUAAAAAGUCACAUGAUGUGAUACAUAUGCUGCUGCUGCAUGAGGACUCUCCCAAACAAGCACUGUUCAAGGAAGAACAGCAAAGGAGAGUCAAAACCCAGCUUAAGUUUUUAUAUAUGUUUCAUAAAAUAAGUCUUUGUUCAACAUAUUUCAUGUGAUUUCUGUAAAGAAAAUGGCAAACCAACUCACCAGCUUGAAUCCAAAUAAAUUCAAUUUUUUUAAUAAUGGCAGGUUUUUUUCCUCUAAUCUUUAAACUAGUUUGGGAAAACUUCCCAAGAAAGCUCAUGUUUUCAAUCCUCUUUAUUUUCCACCCUAUUUACCUAACAAAUUUACCUAACAAGUUUGUAACUAUGACUAGGGAAAAUAUUUUAUCAUUGUUUAUAAAUCAAAUAUUUGAUCAAUACACAUACUUCAUCCAAUGAAAAUGAUGUUCUCUAGAAUAUGAUCUGUAUUCAUGUGAAAUUGUCAAAUCGGAGGUUUUUCUUUUUCAGAAAAGAACAUGGGUUACAUUUUCCAUAGGUUUUUGUUUACAGUUAGAAUAAACCAAUUUAUAAUAUUUUGAAUUUAUUUUAUUGUAGUGGUGCAAAAUGCUUUCACACACAGCCUCCCCCUCCCUAUGAUUCCCUAGAAAACUAACAAAAUAAUCCAAUGUUCCUAUUCAGUAGAUAGGAAGUAGUAGAUAUUUCUUCCAUGAAAUGAUGAUCAGUGGCACUUUGGAGGGAAAAAACUAUUAAGCAGCAGUCCUGAAUUAAUUUGCUAUGGAAGCCAUUGAAUACUUUCUAUACUUUUGUAUUUUUCAAUGCAAAUCUGUUUAAAUAGUGUUUUGUAAUUAUAAGUGACCAAGACUUACUGUUCUUCAAUUAUUUUGAAUUUUAAUGAAAUUGUGUUAACAAUUCACUGAUACAGCAUAUAUUUACACAUCUUAAAACUCCAGCAUUUUCUUGUUUAAAUAAGUGUUUAAAAAUUGGUUUUAAAUAUACAGAGUUACUUUUCCAUCUUUUUUAAAGGACAAAUGUAGUUAAGGUACUUCAUUUGCUUCAGAAAAGACUCAUUCAAUAUCUGUAAGUUUCAUUUUCUCAAAGUGACUUUGCUUAUUCAGAGAAUAAUCGAUAAUCGUGGAAUUUAUCAAAUAUAUUGAAAAGUAACAUAAAUAAAAAUACAGGAGGCUCAGAUGAGGAAUUGAUUCCACCACGUACACAUCUAAAAGGGCCUUUAGUUUUAUAAAUUCUUUGCAGCAAUUUUGAUUCCCAGUCACUGGGGUGAAGGGAUGCCUCUAAGGAGGACGCCCGACGUGCAGAUCUCCUGUAUGUAACUGGAUAUGGCAUCCAUCUGUCUGGCACUCAGCACUUGAAGUGCUCUGUGCUCAGCUCACUUUUUGAGCUGACUCUGCUUCCAGCUGUGUAACAAUAUCUGUAACACACUGCAGAAUGCUCAUGUAAUGUGAAUUUCCUGACAAAGGUAGAUGGAAAUAGUGCUGCUGCACAGAUGCAGAGAUUAGAGAUCUAUAAAUACGCUUAUUUUUCUUUUGCUUAAAAGAGAAAAAUGAUCCAGUUGACUUGGAACCCAAACAGGUUAAAUCCCCUUGCAACCUCAUUCCAUUCUAAGCACUUCUCCUGUGCUGUCAAAGUAAUUUUCUUUCUCUUCUCCCAUCCCAAAUGUCUCACAUUCAAAUAUGAUUUUGCUAUUAUUACUGCUUAUAUUACAGGAGGAUUAAGUCACAGUUCAUGACCUUUGAGGCCAGUGUCAGCAAAACACUGAAGAUGAAUGUUAGAUUCUGAUUUUUGGGACUGCAUCUACUCAGUCUAGAAAUAGAUAAGUAAAGCAUAAUUUUUUUUUUCAGGACUGCUUCUGGUGACUUAUGAGAACCAGAAUAUAUUGGGGUUUUUCCCCUCUCCUUGACAUAAUACUACUGUAUUUAUUGUCUUCUUCUGUAGAUGUUUAUUUUCUUCCAGAUAUAGUUGCACAGUUGCUGAUUCUGAAUCAGAAAGGAAUUUUUUGCAAGGCUAGGGGCUGCUGAAGACAUGUCAUGACAUUUUAAUUCCAACCUAAUGCAAGAGCCAGGAAUUAAGGCAGUGUCAAUGGUUUUGCCUGCUUUAUCUCUGUGACAUAACUCACUUUUCCCAGAGUUUAC